UACAGAGACUGCAAGCGUUAUUCGGAUUCAUUGGGCGUAAAGGGUGUGUAGGUGGCGCGCUAAGUCGGGUGUGAAAUUUCGGAGCUUAACUCCGAAACUGCAUUCGAUACUGCGGUGCUUGAGGACUGGAGAGGAGACUGGAAUUCAUGGUGUAGCAGUGAAAUGCGUAGAGAUCAUGAGGAAGACCAGUGGCGAAGGCGGGUCUCUGGACAGUUCCUGACACUGAGACACGAAGGCCAGGGGAGCAAACGGG
rnacentral:rRNA from 1 species